rnacentral:misc_RNA from 1 species
GUGAAUCAUCGAAUUUUUGAACGCAAAUUGCACUCUCCUCGGAGAGUAUGCCUGUUUGGGGGUCAUUAGAAUAAAAAAUCGAAGCGUUGCUCUUUUUUUUUAUGGGUGUGCCCGUCGAAAUUAAUCGCCCUUUCAAUUGUUAAUUCAUGUCAAAGUGCCUUGAAAUUAACCCAUCCGGUACGAUUAAACCGUAUUUAAG